GACUUCAGCCUGAGCUCCAGCCUCUCGCCCAUGUCGGCAGCCGGAGGAGGAGGCGGCGGCGGCCCCGCACCAUGCUAGAGGGGGCCGGUCGGGGUGUGGCGGCCGGGCCCGGCCGGGGGCGUGUGCGAGAUGUUGUCUCCGUGAAGAAAGCUCUUAACGCCCCUGGGACCAUCGACGCCCUUCUCCGAGCACGAUGCGAUGGUGAAAAUAGGAUGUGGGCGCUCAGCGGAAAGAGGAGGCAACAAGGAACCGCGCCGGGAGCUGCUCCGUCCCUGCCGCCCCGGAAAACGAACUCACCCCGAUGGCUGCGGGUCUGCCGGGACGUCCCAGCAGUGGAGCCUUGCGGUCUCUGUGCUCGCCAGGAACCUCCUGCCGCCCACAACGCGCCUUUUGCAGAAGGAACUGGACCGAAAUCCCCCUUUUUUAGCAUCUCCCUCCUAAUCAGGCCCUGCCGCCCGGUGCAAACUGCCAAACGUGAGAUGCUCCGGCUGCUUUUAUGAAUCCUCCCGAUCCGUGCGUUUCCUCGGAGCACGUUUCCCUCUUAGUGCUGCUCCCCAGCGGGCGGAGAGGCGCCUUCAAAAACGCGGGUGGCCGGAGAGGAGCAUCGAGCGCAGCUGCCCCAAACGCUCGCGCUGGCCGCGUCCCCGGCCGGCUGGGCCCCCGGCCCCACCGCUUUGCACCCUUUUCCCGCGGGUUGGCAGGAGUGACGUGGGGCUGCGCUGCCGCCUGCACCCAAGGGUCUCCCGUUUCCAACGCCCUUUGCUUUUAGGGUUUUUUUUGUGUGCGUGCUAUGACCUCCUGCAAAUAAAAGGUUUUUCCCGGC